rnacentral:lncRNA from 1 species
AAGAAAUCCUAAGAUAGUUGAUCUUGCAUUUCCUCUGCUACGGACUCCAAGUACCGGUCGCCACUGGGCUUUGGUUAAAGAGCUCUCAAGACCUGUGUAUAUUGGGAUCCCCAGGUGGCGCAGUGGUUUGGCGCCUGCCUUUGGCCCAGGGCGCGAUCCUGGAGACCUGGGAUGGAGUCCCACAUCGGGCUCCCGGUGCACGGAGCCUGCUUCUCUCUCUGCCUGUGUCUCUGCCUCUCUCUCUCUCUCUCUCUCUCUCUCUCUCUCUCUCUGUGACUAUCAUAAAUAAAUAAAUUAAAAAAAAAAAGACCUGUGUAUAUUAUGAUAACUUCAAUCGUCGUGUCUAAUGUGCCCCAAACUCUAAACAGGCAAAGACCAAAAUGCAAAAAAACAUCAGAGAAUGCGAUACACAACAGAACCCACAAAUGCCAAGAGGAAAGGAGCCCCAAGCCCUGGCAGUCUGCUACUCCUCGGGCGAGGCCCACGGGCCCUGACAGGCCGCUCGGGUGGCACGGCCCCACGCUUACUGGAUCACAAGGAGAGGCUGCCUUAACUCGGGGUGAUGCUGCAGGGCUGUGCUGAUCCGGGUGUCCUGGUCCCCCCACUGGACAGCUGCCUGCUGUCUGCGGGCCUAUGGUCACCAAGGACAUUUCUCUGCCUGGGUUACAGGCAGGUUACAAACUGUUACAUAAAUGAGUUCGAAUACGCACUCCCAGGCAGAAGUAUUUUCCUCAACCCCCCAAUCCUUAAAGAAUACAUGACCCAAGCCCUAAAUCCACCUGAAGGAACACCCUCAAGGGGUUGGCCUGACCCUGAGUCCUGCUAAUGGGAAAUUUCUGUUGAGUGCUCCACCUGAUAUGGCUUUCCUAUCCAUGACAUUUGGGACAUUCAGUCUCCAGUGUCAUGUUCCUGGUGUCUCUUAGAUUACUGGAAUGGCAACUGAAUCCCUGGGGCAGAUAGCAGGAGACUCUAGCUGUUUUAUUUUCCUUGCCUUUAAAAUUACUAUUACAUACGCUCUUUUAAAGUACAAAUAUACCUACCACGUGCAAAUGGAGGGCAAAAUGAGGUUAAAAAUCUAGGUUAACAAAUUAGGUAAACAUUGUCAGUGGUAGCGUCACAAAUUACACAUGGUUUCAGUGAUAAAAUAGACCUUAAACAGAUGCAGGGUUUGUAUAAUCUGAAUAUACGACUUAAUUAAAAACCCUGGCCUAAUUUCUCUUCAAGUCAUUCUCUUUUAUCCCCUAUGCUACUUUGAUGGAAUUAUUUCAAGAUGCCCCAUUUCUUAGGCCUCUCGUCGUAUCAAUUCAUCUAGGUUUCUAUUUGGUUUCCACAGUAACUUACUUGUUUGCUCAUGAGACCACAAAAAAAAAAAAAAAAAAAAAAA